rnacentral:lncRNA from 1 species
AAGCUAGGAGGAGCAAGCCAGUGAGCAGCACCCCUCCGUGGCCUCUGUGUCAGCUCCUGCCUCCAGUUUCCUGCCCUGUUUUAGUUCCUGCCCUGGCUUCCUCCAGUGAUGGGAGUUUGCCCUGAGGCUGGAAAACCAGAACAGGAGGACGUCACCCAGCCAGCGGUGUAAGAUCUGAGCCAGGUACAGGAGUGCAUCCCAGCGCAGAAGGGGAACACACAGUUUGACUCUCAGUGAGUCCAGCUGAGUUCACCAGCGUUACUGUACAGCUCACAGCCACCUGCCGAAUGCUCCCUUCUGUGAAACACCAACCAACCCAGGCCAGGCAGAAAAAAAACUGAGGGUUUCCUUUAAGAAAUAUGGCUUAACUUCAUCCAGCAGCUGGUGGAAGUAAAAGCCGACACCCACAACUAUUCACCGAACUGAACUGGAAUCCAGUUGCAGAGAAGGACGAGUGAAAAGCAAAGGGGUCCAGACCAGGCUGGUGAAACCCACAGAAACAGCUGACUUGAACAUCAGGGAACUCUUGCUCCCCAGACUGAUAGCUGGGAUACCAGCAUGAGACUGAUCCAGCCCCCAGGAACAUGGGUUUCUGUGAGGAAACCUUGGAAAUCUAUGGGAUCUCCUGUAGUUGUUCAGUACUUAUCCCUAGCAUAGGUGUGGACUUUGGGAGCCCAUUCCACAUAGAGGGAUACUCCCUGAGCCAAGACACACGGGGUGGGCCUAGGCCCUAUCCCAAAGGAUGGGAUAGACUCUGAUGACACCCUAUGGAAGGCCUCACUAUCCCUGGGGAACAGAAAGGAUAUGUGACAGGUAGGGUUUUAGUUGGGAGGGGGUGGUAG